rnacentral:rRNA from 1 species
GGGCUCCUCCGGGCCCCCGGGGCUCUACCCGACACUACACUUCUACUUUCCCUUCCUAGGUGACACACUACCUGACACACGACCGGUUUCGGCUAGUCGCUACUACACGACUAGGGCCCGCGGCGCACUUACGCUACGUUGGUAGACGGUACNCCGGGCUCCCAAACGGCGACCGACUGCGUACGGCCGACCCUGACGACGGGUGACUCGGGGUCACAUCUAGGGAGACUCUAGACUGA